rnacentral:rRNA from 1 species
GACGAACGCUGGCGGCGUGCUUAACACAUGCAAGUCGAACGGAAAGGCCCUGCUUUUGUGGGGUGCUCGAGUGGCGAACGGGUGAGUAACACGUGAGUAACCUGCCCUUGACUUUGGGAUAACUUCAGGAAACUGGGGCUAAUACCGGAUAGGAGCUCCUGCUGCAUGGUGGGGGUUGGAAAGUUUCGGCGGUUGGGGCUGGACUCGCGGCUUAUCAGCUUGUUGGUGGGGUAGUGGCUUACCAAGGCUUUGACGGGUAGCCGGCCUGAGAGGGUGACCGGCCACAUUGGGACUGCGAUACGGCCCAGACUCCUACGGGAGGCAGCAGUGGGGAAUAUUGCACAAUGGGCGGAAGCCUGAUGCAGCAACGCCGCGUGCGGGAUGACGGCCUUCGGGUUGUAAACCGCUUUCGCCUGUGACGAAGCGUGAGUGACGGUAAUGGGUAAAGAAGCACCGGCUAACUACGUG